AGCAGCCGCGGUAAUUCCAGCUCCAAUAGCGUAUAUUAAAGUUGUUGCAGUUAAAAAGCUCGUAGUUGAAUUUCGGGGUUAGUAGAUUGGUCAUGCCUCUGGUAUGUACUGGUCUCACUGAUUCCUCCUUCCUGAUGAACCUUAAUGCCAUUAAUUUGGUGUUUUGGGGAAUUUGGACUGUUACUUUGAAAAAAUUAGAGUGUUUAAAGCAAGCUAACGCUUGAAUACAUUAGCAUGGAAUAAUGAAAUAGGACGUUCGAUCCUAUUUUGUUGGUUUCUAGGAUUGACGUAAUGAUUAAUAGGGAUAGUUGGGGGCAUUAGUAUUCAAUUGUCAGAGGUGAAAUUCUUGGAUUUAUUGAAGACUAACUACUGCGAAAGCAUUUGCCAAGGAUGUUUUCAUUAAUCAAGAACGAAAGUUAGGGAUCGAAGACGAUCAGAUACCGUCGUAGUCUUAACCAUAAACUAUGCCGACGUAGGGAUCGGAUGAUGUUAAUUUUUANGUACUUCAUUCGGCGCCUUA
rnacentral:rRNA from 1 species